rnacentral:rRNA from 1 species
UACGUAGGUGGCGAGCGUUAUCCGGAUUUAUUGGGCGUAAAGCGUGCGCAGGCGGUUUGCUAAGUCUAAGAUAAAAUCCCGAAGCUUAGCUUCGGUUCGUUUUAGAAACUGGCAGACUUGAGUAUGGUAGAGGCAAAUGGAAUUUCUAGUGUAGCGGUAGAAUGCGUAGAUAUUAGAAGGAACACCAGUGGCGAAGGCGGUUUGCUGGGCCAUUACUGACGCUCAUGCACGAAAGCGUGGGGAGCAAAUAG